ACAACGAAAAGAAGAGAGGUACGGCACGCUAAUAUUGUUUCGGCUAUUAUCGCGUAAGCGGUGCCAACGCCAAUAAAGAAGAAUAAGAGUUCAUGGUUCAGAUCACGGAGAUAAGCGCAGUCUUUCUGUUAAGCUACGUAAAUAACCUCAUACAUAAAGCCUUAAGUAAGUCGCACCAAGUCGUUCAAAUCUUCACAGGAAUCAUAAAAAUAAACUGGCUCAUUCUCAAUAUAAUCUUCUGGGUAGUUUCGGAGAUCACGGAAAACAAACUUAUCUCUAAAUUUGCCAAUUUUCGCCAACGCCAUUAAAAGACCGAAAAUUGAAUAUAAUCCAGCUUUUAUGUGGCUUAGAUGGGAAAUAAUUACAUUUGCGAAGCCACAAAGGUGCUGAGACGGACCUUUUCUGCGCAAGAACAACAACAAGAGCGGAAUAUAAAACUAGCACAAAACACUAAGCAACACUGAAGAUUUCUACCAAGCAAAUGCAAGCCAGCCAAGCAAACACACCCGCACGUGCAGAGCAGUUGUACUAAAAUUCAUUGCCUACAUUAAGGAGCUCAUUGCAGAAAUAAUUUUGAGAAAAUAAUAUACGUACUACUAAAUAUUUACCAGGCGAACAGCAAAGGCAAGCAAGCAAUAUGCGCAAACGAAUGUUAAAGAAAUCAAUCUUCAAACCACCGGAUUUCUACCAGGCGAACAGAAAGGGAAAGGCAGCAAACAUAAAGUUUUAACUAAAUUCGUUGCCUAAAUUUAGGAGCUGAUUUAAGAGAUAUUUGGCUUGACUGCAUUUUCAGCAAUUUGAAGUCACUGGAGUAAGUGAAAAUAUCCAUAAAUAAUGAAAGUUCAGACUUUUAG